rnacentral:misc_RNA from 1 species
GUCUUUUUUAUUGUCUCAACUAACUCUGUCAAACAAACAAGCGUAAACAUCAAGGCCUUGCGACCUUGUGCUAAUGUUGUGAGAUGCUACGCACAGUUAAGCACGAGCACUCGCAAAAGAUUUGUAAUGAUCCUUCCGCAGGUUCACCUACGGAAA